GCUUACUCACAGGGUGGUCAAGUUUGAAGAAAGAGAUGGGAUGGCGAUCCGGGUGAAAUAGUGGCCCAGCUCCAACCAUAAUUUCACAAAACCGAACCAGCUUAAGGAAAAAGGAUAAAAGAAAAAAUCGCAAACGUGGUCAUCCAAACAAAUUCCCAACGUUAUGUAGUCUAAUGCAUGACAGAAAGGAAUUAGUCUGCAAGCAAUAAGCCAAUAACACACUACAGACUACAGUGAGUACAACAAAUCAAACAAACUAUAUGGCAUUAUGUUAAGUUUGGUGAUAGGGAAAAAGACAACCGAAGCAAGUGACAGAAUCAGCACAACCGAAGCAAGUGAUAGGGAAUUAGUCUCACACAACCACACCGCACAGGCGCACACCCCCGCAGGCCGCAGGCCGCAGGCGGCAGUGCACUACUGCACUCUUCGCCAUUCACACACCCUCGGCAGCGCGUUCUCCGCCGUUCGCAAACCCCCGGCAGCGAACUUCAGCAGCGGCGCUUUCAACAGAGAUUUAGGUAGAUCGUGCCGGAUCAGUGCGAAAUCCACCGUCGCGCAUCUUCCUCCCCUUCGUUUGAAGAUAGCUUACAACAAGUUGGAAUUUGAUCUUGAGGACGUAUUAAGUUGAACAACAGAGAUAACUUGAAGAAAGGCAAGCAGGAUCAUAAUAUUGUAGGAGAAAGAUGCAAUCAUCGAAGUUACAAAAAGGAAACAUGGUCACUUCCAGAUAUGAACAGCAACUCUUCAUAGCACCAGGUGCACUGGGGAAGGGCCGUGGAAAAAGAUUACGACCUUCUCUUAGAUCAUCAUCACGAGAUGCUUUAAUUGGUGCUAUCAACAAUAGUACAUCGCCGAAUGAUACUCCAACAGAACCACCAAAUGAUGCCUCUUUGCCGCAUGAAUUCGAGUCUAUAGAAGAUAUCCAAAGUGCCGAAGAAACUACAAAGUGUGAUCCGGCAACUUCUGAAAAGAAAAGGAAAGUGCAAGGUAGAAACAAGUGCAAGAAAGUUGCAAAAUUAAAAAAUGGUCAAAAGUUGGAGAUAAAAUUCUACAACAACUGUCCCAUUGGAAAAAAUCACAAGGUUUUUUCAAGAAACUUGGGUAAAAUUGUGCGCGAUCGCAAUAUUUGUCCACUUCGAGUUCAUUCAUGGAAGGAAAUUGAGGAAGACAAUAAAAACCACAUGUGGGCAGCGGUGACAGUUAUACUUUAUAGUAUGAAUUUAAAUUUGAAUUGAUUGUACAAGUUUACUUGUGCUAUCAGUUGCAGUUGACGCAUAGUUCAUUUCUAUCUUCCUUUGCAGUAGCGGUAAUUUAUACAAUUAUAACAGUUGUUUUCGAUUCAAUUAUCAUUGCUACUGCACUAGUUUGACUGUUGACUAUAGUUGGUCGUUGCUUUAUUAUCUCACUUUACAGUAAUAGCCCCUUUGGUGAUUAUCGGUAGUUGUUAUUCAUUGUUAUCAUACCCGAUUUACUUGUUACUACUGUUGUUUAUCCCUUCCAUUUGCUAGUGUGU